UCUGAGAGAGGAACUAUACCUCUUUCACAUUUCACGAAACUAUUUGAAGAUUUCCUUCUGCUGCUCUCAGGACUCGGUGCAUGAAAAAAACAUCAGUAAUCAUGUCUGUCGUAUGCUCAUCACAGAGUUUGCCUAUUUUCCUGUUCCUCAUUGCAGUGAGUUUCGUUCAUGGUGUUGCUGAAUUAAAAGAGCUUUGCGACCCAGACCCUGUAUUAUGUAAGAACAUCACUCUAUCUGGAGGGAGAUCGAUUCAACUCAUUCCAAGAUUAGCAUCACCAUCAAACGAUCCUGAACCAGUUCUGGUAAAACUCUCAUCUUGGCGCCAUUUUGUCUGUGU